CCAUCUUCAGAGCUCUCUAGUCAUCCGCUUUUCUUCUCGUUUGGACGUUUCUCUUCCGAGUCGUCCGCUUUGUACUCGUCUGGAUUUUUCUACCUUAAGCCCAAGUCAUCAGCUUUGACUAGUGCUUUUCGUUCGAAUUGCAUUCAGACUUUGUUGGUGUAAGAUUAAGUGAGUCCGGGUCCUCUAGUAGUCCCUCAUCGUCCAAACAUAGAAAACUGGACGACAAAGGGUUGCCUCCAAGUGUUAGCACAGAUUUGCUUGACGACGUUCUAUCUUUAGAGUCGUCACAUAUUGGCCUGUCUAAAGAUGAGUCAAGGGAGGACUUGUUUGAUGCUGAGUCUUCCGAGUCCAGUUCAAAAUUUGGGUCGUCAGGCUUUACUUCAGUGAGUGGAGAUGAUAAUUCUUCUUUGUCUGAGGGCCCUGAUUGUCACUUUAUCUUGCUUGAUGAUUGGGAGGUGAACAAGCAUUGUUCUUCCCUUUCUGCUAAGAGGUUACUUAAGAUACAGUUUGAAUCUCAAAUCCCCCAUAAUGUUCCUACUAGGUUAGCCAAGGUUAGAGAGAAGUGUUACUCCCAUGAUGGCGAAGGUGUUGGAUUUUAUGAGGCUUCUUUUGUAAGUGGGUUAAGACUUUCACUUAAUCACCUCACUAGGAGGUUAUUAAGGAGGUUAGGCAUAGCUAUACCUCACUAGCACCUGAUUCUUGGCGUGAUUUUAUGGGGGCUCAGAUAAUAUAGGGGAUCAUGAGUGAGGGUCAAGAGACCCUUUCCUUGAAUGAGUUUCUAUACUGUUAUAAACCUGUUUGAGUCCCUAAAGUGAAGGGUAUGUAUUACUUCAAGUGUUGGAAGGAAUAGUGUAAGUUAGUUAUUGAGAUUCCAUCCUCCAAUAUGGAUUGGAAGGAAAUUUUUUUCUUCGUUAGUGGUACUAACUGGGUAUGUAGCCUUGAGGAAGUUAGUAUUGUAAAACCAAUGGACUAUACUUAGGGAGUAUUGCCAAAGUCUGCUCAAAUUUUAUAGAUGAUGUCUGCAAAUUAGUUAGCUAGAGUGGAAAGGGCUAUAAGCUUCUUUGCUGUUGAGCGCAACUGAAGAGUCUUGGUCACAGUAGAUAAUAUUCACAAAUAUUGUUCUAGACCCAUCCCCUUUGUAGCUGCUCGUAACUAUGAAAGAAUCUUUCACAAAUGUAAGUAUUUCUUACUUCACUCAUCUGUUUCUUGUUAACUGCCUUGGCUGCCGAGUACUUUGCAGAGAUGGAGGCAGGUGCCGCUAAAAAGAAUAAGAAAGUCCAGAAGGUAGUUGCCCUUGCUGCAAUUGUGAUUAGAGAGGGGGAGCUUCAAAUUCCCAGGCCUGGGGAGAAGAGGAAGUUCUCUGUGGACACUUCUCCAUAAACUUUUGGGACCAUCACUCUUCCGAAGAAAACUCCUAAUCGUCCUUCUUCAGCUCUUAGUCUUCUGGCUCUUACUCAUCGUCCGAGAGUACCUGGCAAGGGAAAGGGACCUCUCACUCCUCCCAAGCCUCCUUUGCUCUCUCAUGAUGCUUUUUAUGCAGUGAAGCAAGCCUUGUCUAUCAUCAAGGAGGAGGACAUAGAAGAUUGUGACGAGUAUGCUCUUGCUUCUAUUGGGGAGUCUGGGUUACACGACCUCAUCAAGGCAAUGGUAAGGAUGAAAACCCUUGAGUUAAGGUGUGGAGACUAUGAGAAUCAAGUGGUUAACCCCUGGAAGCAUUUGAAGAAGAACAACAAGGUCAUCAAAGAGUUGUAGGAAUUUGUUUCCCCACUAAUAGGGAAGCUUGCUACACUGGAGGCCAAGGAGAAGGAGCUUGAGGAGUGAUGCGCUUCUCAGGCAAACCUCUUCAUUUCUAUAAGGGAGGAGAAAGUACACCUCUCCAAGGAGCUAGGAAAGCUUUAAGGGGAGCUGAGUAAUGCUAAAAUGAGGGUUGUUGCUAAGUAUUCCACUUCACAGGAGUACCUUAACGAUUUGGGCAUCUAGUAUGUGCGGGGGUUUGAACACUUCCGUGUUUAGGCUUCAGCAGCCUUUAAAGACUUAGACUUUUCCAAGAUCGAAAUUAAUACUGAGGAAGGCUCUACUGCAACCGCAAUGAGUGAUGGUGGUGAACAAGAUGUGGAUAGCGUUACUAACAAGGGAACUAAGGGAGAUGACCAAAUUGGGCAUUAGACUUAGUUUAUUUUCCCUGUAUUUUCAUUCACGUACAUUCAUUCUUAAUAUUUUUAUUUUAGAUGAUGGGUCCUUUUUCUUUUUA